rnacentral:rRNA from 1 species
GAGUGCUUGCACUCAAUUGGAAAGAGGAGUGGCGGACGGGUGAGUAACACGUGGGUAACCUACCCAUCAGAGGGGGAUAACACUUGGAAACAGGUGCUAAUACCGCAUAACAGUUUAUGCCGCAUGGCAUAAGAGUGAAAGGCGCUUUCGGGUGUCGCUGAUGGAUGGACCCGCGGUGCAUUAGCUAGUUGGUGAGGUAACGGCUCACCAAGGCCACGAUGCAUAGCCGACCUGAGAGGGUGAUCGGCCACACUGGGACUGAGACACGGCCCAGACUCCUACGGGAGGCAGCAGUAGGGAAUCUUCGGCAAUGGACGAAAGUCUGACCGAGCAACGCCGCGUGAGUGAAGAAGGUUUUCGGAUCGUAAAACUCUGUUGUUAGAGAAGAACAAGGACGUUAGUAACUGAACGUCCCCUGACGGUAUCUAACCAGAAAGCCACGGCUAACUACGUGCCAGCAGCCGCGGUAAUACGUAGGUGGCAAGCGUUGUCCGGAUUUAUUGGGCGUAAAGCGAGCGCAGGCGGUUUCUUAAGUCUGAUGUGAAAGCCCCCGGCUCAACCGGGGAGGGUCAUUGGAAACUGGGAGACUUGAGUGCAGAAGAGGAGAGUGGAAUUCCAUGGUUAAC